rnacentral:ncRNA from 1 species
UGCGGUAACGCGACUGAUCCCGGAGAAGCUGGCGGGAGCCCCGGGGAAAGUUCCCUUUUCUUUGUGAAGGGCAGGGUGCCCUGUAAUGGGUUUGUUCCGAGAGAGGGGCCCAAGCCCUGGAAAGCGGUGCGGCAUCCGGUGAGCUCUCCCUGGCCCUUGAAAAUCUGGGGGAGAG